UGUAAGUAGAGUUGAUAUAAAGCGAAACUGCGAACGGCUCAUUACAACAGAUAUAAUUUACUUGUUCUAUUCCUUUAAACGGAUAACUGCGGUAAUUCUGGAGCCAAUACGUGCUAAAAGUCGAAUUCAGCAAUGAGUUUGAUGCACUUGUCGGAGCAAAACCAAUCAUUGUUUUAUGCUAACUCUGGACAAUACUGCUUAUCGAAAAUUAAUUUUCGAAGUUACAUUCAAGUAUCUGCCUUAUCAACUUUCGAUGGUAGUGUAUUGGACUGCCAUGGUGUUGACGGGUAACGGAGAAUCAGGGUUCGACUCCGGAGAGGGAGCCUUAGAAACGGCUACCAUUUCUAAGGAAAGCAGCAGGCGCGCAACUUAUCCACUGUUCAUUGAACGAGAUAGUGACGAGAAAUAACAAGUUCGUUCUCUAUGAGGUCGAACAUUGGAAUGGAUGGAAUCUAAACAAUUUCAUGAGUACCCACGAGAGGGCAAGUCUGGUGCCAGCAGCCGCGGUAAUUCCAGCUCUCGUAAUGUAUAGAAUUAUUGUUGCGGUUAAAAAGUUCGUAGUUGGAUUUUCGACUGUUUAGUGGUUGGUCCUAACGGAACAUACUACUAGCAGUGUUUGCAAUUUGAUUUUUAGCAAUAAAAAUUUAAUUGCGGAUUACUUUGAACGGCUUAAGUGCUCAAGGCGAGUCUUCGGACUGAAUACCGGUGCAUGGAAUAAUGGAACAAGGUUUCGGCUGAGUUUUAUUGGUUUUGUCGGCUAAAACAAUGGUUAACAGGAACAGCUGGGGGCACUCGUAUCGCUGCGCGAGAGGUGAAAUUCGUGGACCGCAGCGAGACGCCCUAAAG
rnacentral:rRNA from 1 species